AGCUUUGCGCAGUGGCAGUACUGUAGUCAAUGAGGUUUAUCUGAGGAGCAAUUAUUGCUAAUA
rnacentral:snRNA from 1 species